GAUGCACGCCCCGUGGGCAUGUCCACGCUUACGAACGGAUGUCUACUGUCUCUUCAACCGCGCUAGGGGAACAGAUGUUGAUUUGUAAUAAGCAGCCCAGUAAUGCUCCGGAAAUUUGAUAGUGGAGUGAAGGUGAUCCAGACCAAGACGCAUAGUGAUGAUGAGGUAUUUGCAAGAAUCUCAUCACUCGCGCAAAAGCCGGAUGCUCUUCUGAAAGGAAUAAGCCCCAGCGACGCUGCAUUUACACUGGGGAUUGCUAUAGUAGCAUAUAGUCACAUACUAAUCUCCCCCGAUAAAAAUAGGUAUUUGCAAGAAUCUCAUCACUCGCGCAAAAACCGGAUGCUCUUCUGAAAGGAAUAAGCCCCAGCGACGCUGCAUUUAUACUGGGGAUUGCACCAGCUUUAGCAAAGGAGCAUCUUCUAAAUGCAGAAAACAAAGGUCUCCUCUGCAGGGAUGUCAGCCCAGAUGGAUUCCGCUUCUACAUCAAUUUGUUUAACGAGAUUGAUCCCCAGAAUAUUUAUUCGCCAAAAACACAUGGACUAUACCACACUUGGAUCUCUGUGGCAAUGGCAGCACAUUGACACAAUUUUGAUUCAUGAAAAAAUGGAGUUCAGCUGACUGAACUUUGAUGUGACUUU